AUUGAACGCUGGCGGAAUGCUUUACACAUGCAAGUCGAACGGCAGCACGGACUUCGGUCUGGUGGCGAGUGGCGAACGGGUGAGUAAUAUAUCGGAACGUGCCCAGUCGUGGGGGAUAACGUAGUGAAAAUUACGCUAAUACCGCAUACGAUCUAAGGAUGAAAGCGGGGGAUCGCAAGACCUCGCGCGACUGGAGCGGCCGAUAUCAGAUUAGGUAGUUGGUAGGGUAAAGGCCUACCAAGCCAACGAUCUGUAGCUGGUCUGAGAGGACGACCAGCCACACUGGAACUGAGACACGGUCCAGACUCCUACGGGAGGCAGCAGUGGGGAAUUUUGGACAAUGGGCGAAAGCCUGAUCCAGCCAUUCCGCGUGCAGGAUGAAGGCCCUCGGGUUGUAAACUGCUUUUGUACAGAACGAAAAGGUUUCUACUAAUACUAGGAGCUCAUGACGGUACUGUAAGAAUAAGCACCGGCUAACUACGUG
rnacentral:rRNA from 1 species